AGAAAGAUAAAAAAGUUAGAAAAUAUGUUGAUUGAUUCUCUAUGUGAACUGACUACUGAGAAAAAUGCUCUAGAAAAGAAAAUAGAGAAUUAAGAGCUUGGUUUAAUUGAUUUAACUCUAAUAAUUUGCUAAGUUGAAAUCUGAUAAUCUGAGUUUAUUGCGUCAACUGAAGAAAGUAAAUGAUUCUAAUAAUAAAGGGAAGAAAAAAGCUUUAAGGAUUU
rnacentral:lncRNA from 1 species